CCAGACUCCUACGGGAGGCAGCAGUGGGGAAUAUUGGGCAAUGGGCGCAAGCCUGACCCAGCAACGCCGCGUGAAGGAAGAAGGCUUUCGGGUUGUAAACUUCUUUUGUCAGGGACGAAGCAAGUGACGGUACCUGACGAAUAAGCCACGGCUAACUACGUGCCAGCAGCCGCGGUAAUACGUAGGUGGCAAGCGUUAUCCGGAUUUACUGGGUGUAAAGGGAGCGCAGGCGGCCUUGCAAGUCUGAUGUGAAAGGCCGGGGCCCAACCCCGGGACUGCAUUGGAAACUGCGAGGCUGGAGUGUCGGAGAGGCAGGCGGAAUUCCUAGUGUAGCGGUGAAAUGCGUAGAUAUUAGGAGGAACACCAGUGGCGAAGGCGGCUUACUGGACGGCAACUGACGCUGAGGCUCGAAAGCGUGGGGAGCAAACAGGAUUAGAUACCCCCGUA
rnacentral:rRNA from 1 species